rnacentral:rRNA from 1 species
GAUGAACGCUGGCGGUCUGCUUAACACAUGCAAGUCGAACGGAAUCCUUCGGGAUUUAGUGGCGGACGGGUGAGUAACACGUGAGAAUCUGCACUCAGGAUGGGGACAACAGCGGGAAACUGCUGCUAAUACCCAAUGUGCCGAAAGGUAAAAGAUUUAUCGCCUGAGAAUGAGCUCGCGGCCGAUUAGGUAGUUGGUGGGGUAAUGGCCUACCAAGACGGCGAUCGGUAGCUGGUCUGAGAGGAUGAGCAGCCACACGGGGACUGAGACACGGCCCAGACUCCUACGGGAGGCAGCAGUGGGGAAUUUUCCGCAAUGUGCGCAAGCCUGACGGAGCAAGACCGCGUGGGGGAGGAAGGCUCUUGGGUUGUAAACCCCUUUUCUCAAGGAAGAACAAAAUGACGGUACUUGAGGAAUCAGCCUCGGCUAACUCCGUGCCAGCCGCCGCAGUAAUAC